UACGAAGGGUGCAAGCGUUACUCGGAAUUACUGGGCGUAAAGCGUGCGUAGGCGGCCUGUUAAGUCGGGUGUGAAAGCCCUGGGCUCAACCCAGGAAGUGCACUCGAAACUGGCGGGCUUGAAUAUGGAAGAGGGUCGCGGAAUUCCCGGUGUAGAGGUGAAAUUCGUAGAUAUCGGGAGGAACACCAGUGGCGAAGGCGGCGACCUGGGCCAAUAUUGACGCUGAGGUGCGAAAGCGUGGGGAGCAAACAGG
rnacentral:rRNA from 1 species